UCCUUUUUGGCAAUAUAUUCUCUCUUUAUACCUAAUAUUUAAAUAUUUUUUAUCAAUCCACUUUGUUUUCAAAAGUAAUGAGAUAUUUGUAAUGGGAGAGAGAGAGAGUACAAUUUUAGUUGCCCAAGUAAAUUUUACAUACGAUAAUUAUCAAAAUAUCUCGCACCACUUUUCCUCUUCACGCACAUUUCUCAUAAGCCAUCGCACCAAGCUUUUCUAUCUACUCUUCUUCGCCGAGAACGAAGGCAUCAUCUCGCUAGACUCAGUUGACGAAGCGACGACUUGGAGAGCCAUUCGUGAACUUGGCGCCCCACAGCCUCAUAUCUCUCCCUCUCAAGCUUGCGGCGCUAUUGUUGUGACAGUGGUAGCUUGUUAAAAAUGGGAGUAUGGGAUGGCGAUGAUUUGUAAGGGAAAAAGAUAAAAGAAUAGAAUAGAAGGUCAGAGAAAUUGAGAGUGAAAGGGUGAUUUCGGUAGCCAAUCUCGUCAAAAACUGAAGGAGAUGCGUUUUUUUUUUUUUUGAUAUUUGGGUUUCUAACAAUGGUUUUUUGCACAGAGGGACUGCAGAGAGGGAUACUAAGGUGAUGGUGUCGCGGCGGUGGCUGGCAGCAACGUUCGCCGGAUGACAAGAGCAGUGUUGCAAAUUGGGAAGGGUUUUCUCUUAAUUCAAUUUAAAAAUUAGUUAAACAUGUGAGCCUUCUUCCUUUUCUUCCUAGUUUAACUUUUCUAAAUACUUAUUCCUAAAAUAAACGGGUCAUUAAUAUUGGGACGGAGGGAGUAAAUAUUUCAACACCAUCUUAUUUUUUCAUGAUUUUGUAAGCAACAAUCACUUUAUAAAAAUA
rnacentral:lncRNA from 1 species